rnacentral:rRNA from 1 species
AUUGAACGCUGGCGGCAGGCUUAACACAUGCAAGUCGAGCGGAGAUGAGGUGCUUGCACCUUAUCUUAGCGGCGGACGGGCGAGCAAUGCUUAGGAAUCUGCCUAUUAGUGGGGGACAACAUUCCGAAAGGAAUGCUAAUACCGCAUACGUCCUACGGGAGAAAGCAGGGGAUCUUCGGACCUUGCGCUAAUAGAUGAGCCUAAGUCGGAUUAGCUAGUUGGUGGGGUAAAGGCCUACCAAGGCGACGAUCUGUAGCGGGUCUGAGAGGAUGAUCCGCCACACUGGGACUGGAACACGGCCCAGACUCCUACGGGAGGCAGCAGUGGGGUAUAUUGGACAAUGGGGGGAACCCUGAUCCAGCCAUGCCGCGUGUGUGAAGAAGGCCUUAUGGUUGUAAAGCACUUUAAGCGAGGAGGAGGCUACUGAGACUAAUACUCUUGGAUAGUGGACGUUACUCGCAGAAUAAGCACCGGCUAACUCUGUGCCAGCCGCCACCGUAAUAC